CCAGAGUUUGAUCAUGGCUCAGAUUGAACGCUGGCGGCAGGCCUAACACAUGCAAGUCGAACGGUAACAGGAAGCAGCUUGCUGCUUUGCUGACGAGUGGCGGACGGGUGAGUAAUGUCUGGGAAACUGCCUGAUGGAGGGGGAUAACUACUGGAAACGGUAGCUAAUACCGCAUAACGUCGCAAGACCAAAGAGGGGGACCUUCGGGCCUCUUGCCAUCGGAUGUGCCCAGAUGGGAUUAGCUAGUAGGUGGGGUAACGGCUCACCUAGGCGACGAUCCCUAGCUGGUCUGAGAGGAUGACCAGCCACACUGGAACUGAGACACGGUCCAGACUCCUACGGGAGGCAGCAGUGGGGAAUAUUGCACAAUGGGCGCAAGCCUGAUGCAGCCAUGCCGCGUGUAUGAAGAAGGCCUUCGGGUUGUAAAGUACUUUCAGCGGGGAGGAAGGCGAUAAGGUUAAUAACCUUGUCGAUUGACGUUACCCGCAGAAGAAGCACCGGCUAACUCCGUGCCAGCAGCCGCGGUAAUACGGAGGGUGCAAGCGUUAAUCGGAAUUACUGGGCGUAAAGCGCACGCAGGCGGUCUGUCAAGUCGGAUGUGAAAUCCCCGGGCUCAACCUGGGAACUGCAUUCGAAACUGGCAGGCUAGAGUCUUGUAGAGGGGGGUAGAAUUCCAGGUGUAGCGGUGAAAUGCGUAGAGAUCUGGAGGAAUACCGGUGGCGAAGGCGGCCCCUGGACAAGACUGACGCUCAGGUGCGAAAGCGUGGGGAGCAAACAGGAUUAGAUACCCUGGUAGUCCACGCCGUAAACGAUGUCGACUUGGAGGUUGUGCCCUUGAGGCGUGGCUUCCGGAGCUAACGCGUUAAGUCGACCGCCUGGGGAGUACGGCCGCAAGGUUAAAACUCAAAUGAAUUGACGGGGGCCCGCACAAGCGGUGGAGCAUGUGGUUUAAUUCGAUGCAACGCGAAGAACCUUACCUACUCUUGACAUCCAGAGAACUUACCAGAGAUGCUUUGGUGCCUUCGGGAACUCUGAGACAGGUGCUGCAUGGCUGUCGUCAGCUCGUGUUGUGAAAUGUUGGGUUAAGUCCCGCAACGAGCGCAACCCUUAUCCUUUGUUGCCAGCGGUCCGGCCGGGAACUCAAAGGAGACUGCCAGUGAUAAACUGGAGGAAGGUGGGGAUGACGUCAAGUCAUCAUGGCCCUUACGAGUAGGGCUACACACGUGCUACAAUGGCGCAUACAAAGAGAAGCGACCUCGCGAGAGCAAGCGGACCUCAUAAAGUGCGUCGUAGUCCGGAUUGGAGUCUGCAACUCGACUCCAUGAAGUCGGAAUCGCUAGUAAUCGUGGAUCAGAAUGCCACGGUGAAUACGUUCCCGGGCCUUGUACACACCGCCCGUCACACCAUGGGAGUGGGUUGCAAAAGAAGUAGGUAGCUUAACCUUCGGGAGGGCGCUUACCACUUUGUGAUUCAUGACUGGGGUGAAGUCGUAACAAGGUAACCGUAGGGGAACCUGCGGCUGGAUCACCUCCUU
rnacentral:rRNA from 1 species